rnacentral:rRNA from 1 species
UACGGAGGAUGCGAGCGUUAUCCGGAUUUAUUGGGUUUAAAGGGUGCGUAGGCGGUCCGUUAAGUCAGCGGUAAAAUUGCGGGGCUCAACCUCGUCGAGCCGUUGAAACUGGGUGUCUUGAGUGGGCGAGAAGUACGCGGAAUGCGUGGUGUAGCGGUGAAAUGCAUAGAUAUCACGCAGAACUCCGAUUGCGAAGGCAGCGUACCGGCGCCCAACUGACGCUGAAGCACGAAGGCGUGGGUAUCGAACAGG